UACGUAGGGCGCAAGCGUUGUCCGGAAUUAUUGGGCGUAAAGAGCUCGUAGGCGGCUUGUCACGUCGGGUGUGAAAGCCCGGGGCUUAACCCCGGGUCUGCAUUCGAUACGGGCUAGCUAGAGUGUGGUAGGGGAGACUGGAAUUCCUGGUGUAGCGGUGAAAUGCGCAGAUAUCAGGAGGAACACCGGUGGCGAAGGCGGGUCUCUGGGCCGAUACUGACGCUGAGGAGCGAAAGCGUGGGGAGCAAACAGG
rnacentral:rRNA from 1 species